UACGGGGGGGGCAAGCGUUGUUCGGAAUUACUGGGCGUAAAGGGCGCGUAGGCGGUGCUCUAAGUCGGAUGUGAAAACUCUGGGCUCAACCCAGAGCCUGCAUCCGAAACUGGAGUGCUAGAGUUCUGGAGGGGGUAGCGGAAUUCCUGGUGUAGCGGUGAAAUGCGUAGAUAUCAGGAGGAACACCGGUGGCGAAGGCGGCUACCUGGACAGAAACUGACGCUGAGGCGCGAAAGCGUGGGGAGCAAACAGG
rnacentral:rRNA from 1 species